rnacentral:rRNA from 1 species
UUGACCUCGAAUCAGGUAGGGAUACCCGCUGAACUUAAGCAUAUCAAUAAGCGGAGGAAAAGAAACCAACCGGGAUUACCCUAGUAACGGCGAGUGAAGCGGUAACAGCUCAAAUUUGAAAUCUGGCUCCCUGCGGAGUCCGAGUUGUAAUUUGUAGAAGAUGCUUUGGGUGCACGAUCCGGCCUAAGUGCCUUGGAACAGGACGUCGUAGAGGGUGAGAAUCCCGUAUGCGGCCGGUUUCGACGCCCGUGUAAAGCUCUUUCGACGAGUCGAGUUGUUUGGGAAUGCAGCUCAAAAUGGGUGGUAAAUUUCAUCUAAAGCUAAAUAUGGGCCAGAGACCGAUAGCGCACAAGUAGAGUGAUCGAAAGAUGAAAAGCACUUUGGAAAGAGAGUUAAACAGUACGUGAAAUUGUUGAAAGGGAAGCGCUUGCAACCAGACUUGGGCGUCGCUGAUCAUCCAAAGUUCUCUCUUUGGUGCACUCGACGACGCACAGGCCAGCAUCGGUUGGGGUGGUGGGAGAAAGACUGCAGGAACGUAGCUCUUUUCGGAGAGUGUUAUAGCCUGCGGUGCAAUACCGCCUACCUCGACCGAGGACCGCGCUUCGGCUAGGAUGCUGGCGUAAUGGUUGUAAGCGACCCGUCUUGAAACACGGACCAAGGAGUCUAACAUCUAUGCGAGUGUUUGGGUGCGAAACCCAUGCGCGAAAUGAAAGUGAACGUAGGUGAGAACCCUUUAAGGGGGCAUCAUCGACCGAUCCUGAUGUCUUCGGAUGGAUUUGAGUAAGAGCAUAACUGUUGGGA